rnacentral:rRNA from 1 species
GUUAUAUGGUCAAGUGAAGAAGCGCAUACGGUGGAUGCCUUGGCAGUCAGAGGCGAUGAAAGACGUGGUAGCCUGCGAAAAGCUUCGGGGAGUCGGCAAACAGACUUUGAUCCGGAGAUCUCUGAAUGGGGGAACCCACCUAGGAUAACCUAGGUAUCUUGUACUGAAUCCAUAGGUGCAAGAGGCGAACCAGGGGAACUGAAACAUCUAAGUACCUGAGGAAAAGAAAUCAACCGAGAUUCCCUUAGUAGUGGCGAGCGAACGGGGAUUAGCCCUUAAGCUUCAUUGAUUUUAGCAGAACGCUCUGGAAAGUGCGGCCAUAGUGGGUGAUAGCCCCGUACGCGAAAGGAUCUUUGAAGUGAAAUCGAGUAGGACGGAGCACGAGAAACUUUGUCUGAACAUGGGGGGACCAUCCUCCAAGGCUAAAUACUACUGACUGACCGAUAGUGAACCAGUACCGUGAGGGAAAGGCGAAAAGAACCCCGGAGAGGGGAGUGAAAUAGAACCUGAAACCGUAUGCGUACAAGCAGUGGGAGCCUACUUGUUAGGUGACUGCGUACCUUUUGUAUAAUGGGUCAGCGACUUAUAUUCAGUGGCAAGCUUAACCGUAUAGGGUAGGCGUAGCGAAAGCGAGUCUUAAUAGGGCGUUUAGUCGCUGGGUAUAGACCCGAAACCGGGCGAUCUAUCCAUGAGCAGGUUGAAGGUUAGGUAACACUGACUGGAGGACCGAACCCACUCCCGUUGAAAAGGUAGGGGAUGACUUGUGGAUCGGAGUGAAAGGCUAAUCAAGCUCGGAGAUAGCUGGUUCUCCUCGAAAGCUAUUUAGGUAGCGCCUCAUGUAUCACUCUGGGUAGAGCACUGUUUCGGCUAGGGGGUCAUCCCGACUUACCAAACCGAUGCAAACUCCGAAUACCCAGAAGUGCCGAGCAUGGGAGACACACGGCGGGUGCUAACGUCCGUCGUGAAAAGGGACAACCCAGACCGCCAGCUAAGGUCCCAAAGUUGUGGUUAAGUGGUAAACGAUGUGGGAAGGCUUAGACAGCUAGGAGGUUGGCUUAGAAGCAGCCAUCCUUUAAAGAAAGCGUAAUAGCUCACUAGUCGAGUCGGCCUGCGCGGAAGAUGUAACGGGGCUCAAACCACACACCGAAGCUGCGGGUGUCACGUAAGUGACGCGGUAGAGGAGCGUUCUGUAAGCCUGUGAAGGUGAGUUGAGAAGCUUGCUGGAGGUAUCAGAAGUGCGAAUGCUGACAUGAGUAACGACAAUGGGUGUGAAAAACACCCACGCCGAAAGACCAAGGGUUCCUGCGCAACGUUAAUCGACGCAGGGUUAGUCGGUUCCUAAGGCGAGGCUGAAAAGCGUAGUCGAUGGGAAACAGGUUAAUAUUCCUGUACUUCUGGUUACUGCGAUGGAGGGACGGAGAAGGCUAGGCCAGCUUGGCGUUGGUUGUCCAAGUUUAAGGUGGUAGGCUGAAAUCUUAGGUAAAUCCGGGGUUUCAAGGCCGAGAGCUGAUGACGAGUCGUCUUUUAGAUGACGAAGUGGUUGAUGCCAUGCUUCCAAGAAAAGCUUCUAAGCUUCAGGUAACCAGGAACCGUACCCCAAACCGACACAGGUGGUCGGGUAGAGAAUACCAAGGCGCUUGAGAGAACUCGGGUGAAGGAACUAGGCAAAAUGGCACCGUAACUUCGGGAGAAGGUGCGCCGGCUAGGGUGAAGGAUUUACUCCGUAAGCUCUGGCUGGUCGAAGAUACCAGGCCGCUGCGACUGUUUAUUAAAAACACAGCACUCUGCAAACACGAAAGUGGACGUAUAGGGUGUGACGCCUGCCCGGUGCCGGAAGGUUAAUUGAUGGGGUUAGCGCAAGCGAAGCUCUUGAUCGAAGCCCCGGUAAACGGCGGCCGUAACUAUAACGGUCCUAAGGUAGCGAAAUUCCUUGUCGGGUAAGUUCCGACCUGCACGAAUGGCGUAACGAUGGCGGCGCUGUCUCCACCCGAGACUCAGUGAAAUUGAAAUCGCUGUGAAGAUGCAGUGUAUCCGCGGCUAGACGGAAAGACCCCGUGAACCUUUACUGUAGCUUUGCACUGGACUUUGAGCCUGCUUGUGUAGGAUAGGUGGGAGGCUUUGAAGCGUGGACGCCAGUUCGCGUGGAGCCAUCCUUGAAAUACCACCCUGGCAUGCUUGAGGUUCUAACUCUGGUCCGUGAUCCGGAUCGAGGACAGUGUAUGGUGGGCAGUUUGACUGGGGCGGUCUCCUCCUAAAGAGUAACGGAGGAGUACGAAGGUGCGCUCAGACCGGUCGGAAAUCGGUCGCAGAGUAUAAAGGCAAAAGCGCGCUUGACUGCGAGACAGACACGUCGAGCAGGUACGAAAGUAGGUCUUAGUGAUCCGGUGGUUCUGUAUGGAAGGGCCAUCGCUCAACGGAUAAAAGGUACUCCGGGGAUAACAGGCUGAUACCGCCCAAGAGUUCAUAUCGACGGCGGUGUUUGGCACCUCGAUGUCGGCUCAUCACAUCCUGGGGCUGAAGCCGGUCCCAAGGGUAUGGCUGUUCGCCAUUUAAAGUGGUACGCGAGCUGGGUUUAGAACGUCGUGAGACAGUUCGGUCCCUAUCUGCCGUGGACGUUUGAGAUUUGAGAGGGGCUGCUCCUAGUACGAGAGGACCGGAGUGGACGAACCUCUGGUGUUCCGGUUGUCACGCCAGUGGCAUUGCCGGGUAGCUAUGUUCGGAAAAGAUAACCGCUGAAAGCAUCUAAGCGGGAAACUUGCCUCAAGAUGAGAUCUCACUGGGAACUUGAUUCCCCUGAAGGGCCGUCGAAGACUACGACGUUGAUAGGCUGGGUGUGUAAGCGUUGUGAGGCGUUGAGCUAACCAGUACUAAUUGCCCGUGAGGCUUGACCAUAUAACACCCAAACA